CCCAUUUCCAUUUUUGAGAGGGGAGCAAAGUUCAGCCGUGCUGUUUUAGGUAGCACACAGCACCACCGCAGGUCAAACCGCCGUGAGACAAAGAUCUUGACAGGAAGCACGGCUUAGCUGCACGGAUGCACACUCUAACUAAAGGUACAGAAAGGACACAAACAAGCUGCAUUGUCUCAGAAGAGAACGGCAGGGUGGGCUGUUAGUCAGAGGUGGCUCCUCACCACUGGGAACCUAGUUCUGCCAAUGCAAACAAGCGAAGCAACUUUCUAAGAACGGAGAAGAACCAGCAAAAAAACUCGUAACAACACCAAAGGCUCCGUAUCCGAUGGGUCUGUCCGGCUCAAUGUCCAGUUGCUGCUGUGGAUGUUGUGAGUGCUGAUGAUGGUGCGCUUUGACUGCAGCAGCUGCUGCAGCCUGUACCUGAGCUGGGGCUGCUGCAGCCGGUCCGGGGGCCUGGCCCGGG